AAACCAAGAGGAAGGACCAGUGUAAGACCACCAGUGUAGGAGCCCAUCACAGCCCAGUAAAAUACAGGGGUAAAGCUUAUCCUUACACAUCACAGAAGGGAGAAAUGGAGAUAUAGGAUGAGGACCUGAACCCCUCCCUCUUAACUGAUGAAUUCCACAUUACAUAGUCUAAAAACUAAGAUUUCAGCUAACAGACGCUUCAGGCUUUCUUCUUCCAGGAAAAUAUCAUGAUCCUGUUAUAUAGCCGAAGUGUCCAGCUAGACAAAGGCAGCCUUUUCAACUGUAUGUCAUUAGCACCCCUUUCAAAGAGGCUUUUCGAAAUGUGCCACCUUAUGUCUCAAAGGUCUGCUCUGCCCCCAUCUAUGGGCUGACACCAUGCCUCUUCUUCCCUGGUCCCCUCACCCUGCUGAUCACAGGCCAACCUAGGAAGAGCUCAAAGGGACUCAUGGGGACACAGCUGCAGGAGAAAGCCUGUAAUUCAGAUGAUUAAGUAGGCGUCCCCACCUCCUGGCUUGUGCGCACUCUUCCUCCUUCCUGUAAUAGAGUUUUUAGAAAUGGUGAAAUUUCAAAAUUCCAAGGCUGAGAUCUUUUUUUUUUUCUUCAGAGGGCUCUGUAAAAAUUAUUCUUAAUUUAACAUACUUAUAAAUAGAACAACGAGUCAACUGUAUUUAGAAGUUUAAGAAAAGAUUAGAUUUUAUAAUCUGCCAUUUUAAUACAUUAAAUAUUAACUUUAAAAAACAAAGUAAACCUGGGAGUAGUCUCUCUGUGCGGAAAAACACUCUCAAAGGUGCCAAAAAAUUUACGUCUUUAUUUAAUAUGUAUGACUCCCUCUGGGCCACUAUCAGUAAAGUGAUAGUUUGGUAAAUUGUUUUAUAGCUACUGCCAGACAUGAGUAAUAAGUGGUAAUUAUGAAGGAUGGGUAAAAGGGGGAAUGUGCUUUUGUAUAAGGUAAUGCAGAAACGGUUCUCAAGGAGACAGUGAGGCGUUUUGAUUGAAAAUUUGGAUUUCAAAAUUGGUGACCUCCAUCCAAACCUUAACUUGCCAUCAGCUCCUGCUUUGGGUAAAUCCCUGAAGCUCUCUGUAUUCCCUGGACACCCAUGACAGAGCACCACAGCCUGGGUGGCGUGAAAGAAGAAAAUGUAUUGUCUCACUGUUCUGGAGAAGAAAGCAUUCUCAUCUCUUCCUAGCUUCCGGUGGUCUGCCAGCGAUCUUGACAUUCCUUGGCUCAAAGAUGCAACACUGUAAUCCUCCAUCUUCACGUGGCAGUCUCCUAUGUCUCUGUCUUUGCAUGGCCGUCUUAUAAAGACUCUAGUCCUGGUGGAUCAGGGACCUUCCCUACACCAGUAUGACUUAGCAACUCAUUGCAUCGGCAAUGACCCUAUUCCCCAAUACAGACACAUUCUGAGACAACCUCAGGAGGUUAAGCUUUCAACAUAUGAAUUUUGGGGGGAAAUAAUUCAACCAGUGGCACUCUCCGAGGGAAGUUACUGCCUAGCUCAAAGGUUUGCACAAGGAAAAAUUAGGGUACAGGUGCCAUGCACAAGGCAUACCAGCUGACAUAGAAGAUAUACACCAUAAAUGGUAAUUAGUAUAGGAAUGAGUCAAUAUGAAGUCAUUGCAACUUUGUAAGGUACAAAUUACAAAUUCAAAAAUUAUAAUGUAUCUUCAUGGAGAAAUUGUGGAAGAUGUCUUCUUUUAAACAUGCAUGGAGUUCUCCUGUGGCGCAAUCGGUUAAGGAUCCAGCACUGUCACUGCAGCAUCUUGGGUUGUCGCUGUGGUGCAGGUUCAGUCCCUGGUCCAGGAACUUCCACACGCCAUAGGCAUGGCCAAAACAUAAAUAAAUAAAAAAUAAAAACGCAUUGAAGAUUACUCAUGUUAGAGCUGAACUUUGUUUAUCGCAAUGACCAUCAAUAGUAUGUCAGCAUAGAAUCUAUCCAAAAAUUAGAAGAUGGCUGUGCAAAAAAAUGACAGCAAUUCCCAAAAAGCAGCAGUGGAUGGUGCAAACUCACUGCUUUGGGGCUGGGGAUUUAAAAUGGUUGCUUCCAACUUUGGGUUCUUUUCAAGGCUAGUUAUCUGGUCAAUGAAUUAGGGAAGCCCUUCUCUUGCACUUAAGACUUUCAAACUUUGUUUAUUAUAAGUAGCUCUGCCCUCGUCAUUAAGGUAUUUCUCACCAGGUGUCCAGCGGUGGAAUGGAGAGGAAAUAACAGGAAGUGACAUCACUGAAUUUUGAAAUAUAUGUGCGUUGUGGAGGAUUUCCUGUUUCAGUUACCAUGAAAAAGUUGUUAAGGAAUGUUAAGGACUGAAUGUUUGUGUUCACCCAAAGUUCAGAUACGGAAGCCCUAACCUACAGUGUGAUGGUGUUUGGAGGUGGGGCCUUUGACAGGUGACUGGGUUUAGAUGAGGUCAUGAGGAUGGGACCCUGAUGAUGGUGUUAGUGCCCUUAUGAGAAGAGGAAGAGGCCAAGUGCUCUCUCUCUGCUCUGUGAGGGUACCAUGAGAAGAUACCUGUGUACAAGCCAGGUAGAGAGCCCUGAAUCUUCUGGUACCUUGAUCUUGAACUUCCAGCCUCCAGAACUGUGAGAAAUAAAUGUCUUUUGUUUAAGCCACCCAAUCUGCGAUAUUUUUGUUUUUUUAUUUUUAAUGACAGCCUGAGUCGACUAAGACAAAGAGGAAUAGGAUAAAGUAUUCUUGCUAAAGCAAGAUGGGGUCUUAGAGAAUAUCUAAUUUAGGGCUUACUUUAGUGAUAAUAAAAUUUGAGACCCCAAAGUGGAGUGUUCUUCUCAUGGUUACAUGAUUUGUUAGGAAGCAUGUUAGGGGAGUUCCUGUCGUGGCUCAGCAGUUAAGGAGCCCAGCCAGUAUCCAUGAGGACAAAGGUUCAAACCCUGGCCUUGCUUAGUGGGUUAAGGAUCCAGCCUUGCUGUAAGCUGUGGUGUGUAGGUCUCAGACACGGCUUGGAUCCCAUGUUGCUGUGGCUGUGGUACAGUCCAGGCGGCUACAGCUCCAAUUCGACCCCUAGCCUGGGAACCUCCAUAUGCCUCAGGUGUGGCCCUAAA
rnacentral:lncRNA from 1 species